rnacentral:rRNA from 1 species
UACAGAGGUCUCAAGCGUUGUUCGGAUUCAUUGGGCGUAAAGGGUGUGUAGGCGGCGCGCUAAGUCGGGUGUGAAAUUUCGGAGCUUAACUCCGAAACUGCAUUCGAUACUGGCGUGCUUGAGGACUGGAGAGGAGACUGGAAUUCAUGGUGUAGCAGUGAAAUGCGUAGAGAUCAUGAGGAAGACCAGUGGCGAAGGCGGGUCUCUGGACAGUUACUGACGCUGAGACACGAAGGCCAGGGGAGCAAACAGG